rnacentral:sRNA from 1 species
UAAAUAAGAGCGAAAGGGCUGAUGGGUGGACAAUGGAUAACUAAUUCUUUUUUCAAACGUAUGAAAUAAUAUAUAUUUCAACGAACGAAGAUAGGAUUAGUCUGACCAUUUUUCCAUACUCCAUUGAACUAUAAUCAUUUAUAGUCUCUUUCUGUACGGUCAAAAACGGACUAAUCCUUCCAAAUCAAUUUGGGAGGAUUUUUUG